rnacentral:rRNA from 1 species
AUUGAACGCUGGCGGCAGGCCUAACACAUGCAAGUCGAGCGGAUGAAAGGAGCUUGCUCCUGGAUUCAGCGGCGGACGGGUGAGUAAUGCCUAGGAAUCUGCCUGGCAGUGGGGGACAACGUUUCGAAAGGAACGCUAAUACCGCAUACGUCCUACGGGAGAAAGCAGGGGACCUUCGGGCCUUGCGCUAUCAGAUGAGCCUAGGUCGGAUUAGCUAGUUGGUGAGGUAAUGGCUCACCAAGGCGACGAUCCGUAACUGGUCUGAGAGGAUGAUCAGUCACACUGGAACUGAGACACGGUCCAGACUCCUACGGGAGGCAGCAGUGGGGAAUAUUGGACAAUGGGCGAAAGCCUGAUCCAGCCAUGCCGCGUGUGUGAAGAAGGUCUUCGGAUUGUAAAGCACUUUAAGUUGGGAGGAAGGGUUGUAGAUUAGUACUCUGCAAUUUUGACGUUACCGACAGAAUAAGCACCGGCUAACUCUGUGCCAGCAGCCGCGGUAAUACAGAGGGUGCAAGCGUUAAUCGGAAUUACUGGGCGUAAAGCGCGCGUAGGUGGUUUGUUAAGUUGGAUGUGAAAUCCCCGGGCUCAACCUGGGAACUGCAUCCAAAACUGGCAAGCUAGAGUAUGGUAGAGGGUGGUGGAAUUUCCUGUGUAGCGGUGAAAUGCGUAGAUAUAGGAAGGAACACCAGUGGCGAAGGCGACCACCUGGACUGAUACUGACACUGAGGUGCGAAAGCGUGGGGAGCAAACAGG